rnacentral:rRNA from 1 species
AGAGUUUGAUCCUGGCUCAGGAUGAACGCUGGCGGCGUGCUUAACACAUGCAAGUCGAACGAAGCAUUUACGACAGAUUUCUUCGGAUUGAAGUUGUUUAUGACUGAGUGGCGGACGGGUGAGUAACGCGUGGGUAACCUGCCUUGUACUGGGGGAUAGCAGCUGGAAACGGCUGGUAAUACCGCAUAAGCGCACAAUGUUGCAUGACAUGGUGUGAAAAACUCCGGUGGUAUAAGAUGGACCCGCGUCUGAUUAGCUAGUUGGUGAGAUAACAGCCCACCAAGGCGACGAUCAGUAGCCGACCUGAGAGGGUGACCGGCCACAUUGGGACUGAGACACGGCCCAGACUCCUACGGGAGGCAGCAGUGGGGAAUAUUGCACAAUGGAGGAAACUCUGAUGCAGCGACGCCGCGUGAGUGAAGAAGUAGUUCGCUAUGUAAAGCUCUAUCAGCAGGGAAGAUAGUGACGGUACCUGACUAAGAAGCUCCGGCUAAAUACGUGCCAGCAGCCGCGGUAAUACGUAUGGAGCAAGCGUUAUCCGGAUUUACUGGGUGUAAAGGGAGUGUAGGUGGCCAGGCAAGUCAGAAGUGAAAGCCCGGGGCUCAACCCCGGGACUGCUUUUGAAACUGCAGGGCUAGAGUGCAGGAGGGGCAAGUGGAAUUCCUAGUGUAGCGGUGAAAUGCGUAGAUAUUAGGAGGAACACCAGUGGCGAAGGCGGCUUGCUGGACUGUAACUGACACUGAGGCUCGAAAGCGUGGGGAGCAAACAGGAUUAGAUACCCUGGUAGUCCACGCC